rnacentral:rRNA from 1 species
UACGUAGGUGGCAAGCGUUGUCCGGAUUUACUGGGCGUAAAGAGCGCGCAGGCGGUCGUUCAAGUCGCGUGUGAAAGCCCCCGGCUCAACUGGGGAGGGUCACGCGAUACUGAUCGACUCGAAGGCAGGAGAGGGAAGUGGAAUUCCCGGUGUAGUGGUGAAAUGCGUAGAUAUCAGGAGGAACACCGGUGGUGUAGACGGCUUUCUGGGCCUUACCUGACGCUGAGACGCGAAAGCGUGGGGAGCGAACCGG